UUCACAAAUACCAAUAACAAC
rnacentral:piRNA from 1 species